GUUAAUAAGUUAAAAAAUUAAGAGCAACUAAAUAAAAAAUAUAAAAUAUGAAGGAAUAGCAAAAAUGGUUAGAAUAAUUUCAUACGUUAGUUACAUUCUCUGAUUAUUUUAUAAAAGUACAAGUUAAUGAAAAAAUAAUAACAAUUGUGAAAUUAAUGUAAAAAUUAAAAAAAUACAAAUAAAUGACUAUAAUAUAAUCAUACGUUGAGCACAUCGAUUGAUAACUACUAAAAAUACACUACAGGAAAAUAUAUCAUAAUAAAUUAGUGAACUUAAAAAAUAAAAAAUAAAAACAUAAAAAAAUUACUAUAAUAGCA
rnacentral:lncRNA from 1 species